rnacentral:rRNA from 1 species
UCUAUACUAUAGAGUUUGAUCAUGGCUCAGAGCGAACGCUGGCGGCAGGCCUAACACAUGCAAGUCGAACGGUUCUUCGGAACAGUGGCGGACGGGUGAGUAACACGUGGGAACGUACCUUUUGGUUCGGAACAACACAGGGAAACUUGUGCUAAUACCGGAUAAGCCCUUCGGGGGAAAGAUUUAUCGCCGAAAGAGCGGCCCGCGUUAGAUUAGCUAGUUGGUGAGGUAAAGGCUCACCAAGGCUACGAUCUAUAGCUGGUCUGAGAGGAUGAUCAGCCACAUUGGGACUGAGACACGGCCCAAACUCCUACGGGAGGCAGCAGUGGGGAAUCUUGCGCAAUGGGCGAAAGCCUGACGCAGCCAUGCCGCGUGAAUGAUGAAGGUCUUAGGAUUGUAAAAUUCUUUCAGUAGGGACGAUAAUGACGGUACCUACAGAAGAAGCCCCGGCUAACUUCGUGCCAGCCGCCGCGGUAAU